CUCCUUGAAUCGGCAGCACGCAGGCUCAAUAUCUAACAACCAAACACACCAACAAUAUGGGCACUGGGUGAUCCCAUCUGAACGCAGGGCGCCUGAAUGAACAUUAAAAUCAUAUGAACAUAUUAAGUAAUAACUCCAAAUACGUUUAACCCCGGAACAUUCGACUGACCCUAAAUGUUCUGCCUCUAUCUUUUCUUGAUCUUUUGAUGAAACAGUGAUCAAAUGGAACGAAAGGACGGAGGACAGAGGCCAAGCAAGGCAGCGGGGGAGAGAGAGAAUUACACCUUCGAUAUUAGUCAUAAUUCAAGAUGACUGCCUUUGGGGAAUGUGGUGUUUUACGGCAUUUAAUUUAAAUACGAGGUGUCUGAGCAUUUUAAUCAAAGUUUGGCCAAGAACUAUUUAGCUACGUAGUGGACGCGAUAUCUCGUAACGUCCUGUGACUGAAUUGUGAAAUAGUAUGUAAAACUUGUUGGGGAUAACUACUGUUGCAAAUAUUUUCGACAGAAACUUAUUUAAACAACAGUUAUAUUUUUUGAGACUUCACAAAAGGUUUGCUCGAUACAGUAUGGUCACGAUCAAGACACUGGAUUUUUCCCCCCUCAGUGUGUCACACAAAGUUACGUGAAUGAGAAAGUAUGGCUCUCUGUCAAAUUUUGGAUUUUUGCAGAUGACAAAAGGUUCUGUUUGAUCAGCGGCAGCUUUCACAGACCUCGGCUCAGGGAUUAAUACAGACGGAUGGCAGUGAAAAGAUGUAACAUGUAAAACUGUAUAUGUAACACUGGAAAUUAACCCAUUUUCUCCUGACCAAAACCACCUCCAAUCAACUUAUUGUAUUCAAUUUAAGAGUAUUCUUCCAAACUUCAGCUCACCAGCAAAGAGAGUUCGGGUGAGGAAAAACCGACUGGAACAAAAGUAAUCUGGAGAAUUGAGGAUCCUUACAAAAUGAGGAGAGACCCUGAAACACACGCCACCUAUCUUCACGGAGAGGGAUAAUUGAGGAGCACCAAACGUGAGCAUCUUCUGGAAAACUUAUCUACUGUAUGGAUAAUUAAAUCAUCAAUCAAGGGGCUUGCCUAUUUGAUGCCUUUGUUCAAAGCCAAUCGGGUUCCAGGGAACGGGCAAUGUGCUGACGUGCAAUUCAAUGGCCAGUUGUGUCCACGCGCUUCUUUUGCUCCAGCUUUGUUACCCACGGUCAGAAGGACGGAACCAGGACACACAUUCAAUUAAUGUUUGACACCGAUAGAACUCUCUUUCCCCUCGCCACUCCCCCGACCCCUCAACCCCCAACCUCUUCUCCAGCAGUCCUGACCGAAAAGGUAAGUCCUCCAAAACAGGAGCCCUUCCACUUAAGAAAUGUGACUUAUUGGCCCGCCAAAUUAAUAAUUGACGUUUGCUAUGAUGAAUUAUUAAUCAAACAUUUGAAUAAUUGUUGUAUCUCUAAUCUCUACAUUCAUUUGCAUAUUUGCCUUUUAAUUUCAGCUGUUGUAUGUGAAAGCCACUUUCUCUUUGGAUUCAAAGAUAUUAUAAAUAUGUUUUACUCGACUCCUCAAAUCAUACCUUUCUCUUCAAAGGUCAUUCUGUGGAGUGGUCAUUUAAUGUGGCGCAGACUGAAAAUCCCAAUUAACCAAUGAACAUAAUAACUUUGUAUAGGUACACUUGACUGUCAUCAUUGCCAUAUUUAGAUCUUUUGAAAAAUCUUUUUUUUUUCAGUCCUAAGUAUAUUACACUUGCAGUAAUUAUGACUUUUGUUUUUGCACGAUAUAUUAUUUUUUUUUGACAAUUCUCUAUUAUUUUAAAGGCAAUAACAUUAUUCUGUAUUAUGCUAAAUAACCGGGGCCAACUGGUUGUAUAAUGAAUCCUUUAUUCAGGCACCUGAAUAGCAUUAUGACCAGGCUCUGUGCUACGACUAAUCCUGCCUGAAUUCCAUGAAAAGCAAGCGAGAAGCGAGCGGGCUCGACUGCAGGCGAGAGAGUGGAGAACGGUCCGCCUGUUCAUCCCGUCUGUCGGAGCUGUUCUUCACCGACCACCUGACUGUGUCACCGGCAUCAUAGCGCAGGCUGGACUUAAUGACAGGCUAGGUGCAGUUCCCUGAUUUAAUACAAAAUUGAAUGUAACAGAGGUAAAAAAAAAAAAAUGUGAGAAUUUAACAUAUAGUUUUGAUAUUAGGGAUGUUUAUAAAAUUCUCAUUUUUUAAAAUUCCACGAACGUUAGCGCUCUUCCGGUUCUGGAAAGUUCUGAAAGCGUGAGGGACGAGCGCGGCCUCAGAUGUGGGAGGAGACAGACGUCACAUGACACCGGUAGCUCAUGACUCACGGCGACUGCAGCUGACCACCGUGACCAAUUUGACAUGGAAGGGUAAGGAGAAACUCACAAGGUAGGGAGGGUCCCAUUUGCUGCAUUUUUGGGCAAGUAUAGGUCAUCGUAGAGUUUUUGGCUAGGCCCUAAUUUGUUGAAAGUGAGAAGAAGGGGAAAAAAAAGCCAGCCAAUCAGAAUAAUCUCUUUGUUUACUGUUUUUACAAAGCAAAUAUUAAACAAACCCGCAGUGCAUAAAACCUUUUUUUUUCUUAGAAGCGGUGUGUGUGUGUGUCAAUAAAACAAGCUUUGAACAAC